GGUGUUGUCGUAUAGUGGUUAGUACACUUCGUUGUGGUAAAGUCGAAAGACAACUCAACGGCCCGAAGAAACAUGAGUUCGAUUCUCAUCAACGCCA
rnacentral:tRNA from 1 species